CAUUCAUUUUCUCCGAGAUGGGUCGCGUUUUCAGUGCUUGUCUCCAACAUUUCCCCAGCAUUUCCUUCGCUGAUGUGCAAAGGAUGGUGGAAGAGAAAUCGGUGACAAAAAAGUCAAAGAUGAAGAAAGGAUACAAGUUUUUCCACGAAAACUUCAUAGAAAAACACGAAGAUGACGCUUGCUGUUGACAGUGGACGUCUGAUGGCGUUUUCCUGUAGCUGUGCAGCAGGAAGAGGGUUUUUCAACCACACCGUGGCCCUGCUUCAUCAGACAGCGCAUUAUACACAGUCUGGCCUGCAGACUGUCCUCCAUCUCUGGCCUGCAUGAGCAGUCUACAACAAUGGCAUAGAGCAAGAACUCAGGGAAUUCAUCCAGAACCUGUGAGUGAUGUGGUGGUGCGAAAGCCAACAACAGCUGGUGAGAGUGGUCGUCAGUCCACGCUGUACCAGGCAUAUACAGGACCGUUUCCCGACCCUGACUUGAUGGCGGAUGGACCCAAGCUGCAUGAGGAACAACCCCAGCCCCUCAGUGCUCCUGUGUUGGAUGGCUUGUCUGAAAUAGAGCAGGUUCCAUGGCCCUGUCCCAUGUGGAUGCCCCAUAUCAUACCUUUGUCCACAUGAAACAUCCAGUGAUCUUAUCCAGCACCACUUGGCUCCUGAAUUCCCAGUUCUUCCUCUUCCAUGGUCUCAGGAUUCCCUCUCUAACGUAUACUUCUGUUGUCUGUUAUAAAUAUUUGCUGCACUGCUGUAACAUGAUUAUUUUGAUAUUUAUUAUUUUACAGUUUUGCAUAGUGAUCCAACAUUGUACAUUCUUGUAAAUGCACACAUGGUGAUUAAUUACACAGCUCAUUUGAUAUUUCAUUCGUUAAAUAAAUUGUUCAGAAUAUAGCCUUGGCCUAUAUUGUACUGUGUAUGUGUUUAAAUCAAAUGAAUGCUUAUUGAUAAAAUAUCUUAAGCCUCAGUUGAAUUAAUUGUGCUU